CUUCCAAGCUGGUCGUCACUUUCUCUUUUUGUUGUAAAAGCAAAAGUCUUCUUCAGCAGGUACUAAUGUCGAUCUUCCAUGAAAGUGAAGAGACAUAAAACAAACUUUGGAAAAUCAGAGGAUUCCUGUAUAACAAGCUUCUUGUUAGUGACAACUACUUCUGGAAACCCAAGAAAGAGAAAAUACUGAAAAGGAAAAGAGUUGGUGUCCUUAUUAAUAAAACACUCAAGAAGAAAUCAGGUACAAAAUCUCCCAUCCAGCCAUGAUGGAAUUCACCUGCUGUUGUAGCCAUGUCUGAGUCAACAUUCACUGCAGCCACCAGAUGCAGGGGCCCAAGUCAGAAGGAGUAAGAACUCUGUCACCAUGUUGCAGAUGAGGAAGCCAGUAUACAAGGAAGUAAAGGAAGCUUCCAACAUUUCCAGAGUCAGAGGUGCAGUCCCCUUAGAAUUUCCUUCCCCAAUGCACCCGUGCACCAUCACCACUGAACAAAAUUUCUAAGAAAUCGGCCGGUUCUUCCCAGACAGAGAAACAGUACCGUGAAGUGGACGAUGAGCAUCAGUCGCUUUCUUUACCCGUGACUUGGCUGUGGAGAGAGCAACACCAAUAUUUUCUAGUAUCGUCUUCUUGACCGAUUGCUCUCACUAGCGAUCCCAUUAAAUGGUGGAAUAAACGU